UGUAUAUUCUAUUCAAUGCAAUAAAACAUAAUUCGUAAAAUAAAUAUGCUGAAAUGUUUGAAAUUUAACACUGCUGAACGUGCUGGUUUUGUCGCGAGUUUAAAGGGAAAUUCCCAGCAGUAAAACCCUUUCAUCAAUACGUCUACAGCUAAACCUACAUAAUAUAGACGCUUCACAGCAUUGGUUCACGAUGACCUAUUGCCUAUAGUACUUUGACCUCUGUCUGGUAAAGCACAGUAUUUCUGUAUUUGGUUGGUGGCAGCUUCGUAAAUCUGUGAUACCACCAAACAAAUUCUUCUGUAAUAUGUAAUGUCAAGAAAUCGCUCCAUUCAAAAACCUUCAAUGGCACAGCUGCAAAUCAAGACAAACGUAAAUAAAGGGAGUCGAUAAUAGCUUGGAAAACGUAACAAUAUAGAGUGGUGUAAUAUUUUGCGUUCUAUACAGGGAAACAAGAUUAAAUUCCUGAUUAUGUUUGGUGUUGAGCAGUUGAUAAAUUAUAUACGAGAUUACAAAUAUAUUUGGACAUAAACACAAUUUGUAUUUCUUCGUCAUCACCAACUACGAUCUUGAAAGGUAAGACAGGAUUGUGCUGGUCCAG